AACGCAGGGUGCAAGCAUUAAUCGGAUUCAUUGGGCGUAAAGAGCGUGUAGGCGGGAAAGAAAGUUAGAUGUGAAAGCCCGGGGCUCAACUCCGGAACUGCAUCUAAAACUCCUUUUCUAGAGGAUGGACGGAGAAAAUGGAAUUCCACGUGUAGCGGUGAAAUGCGUAGAUAUGUGGAAGAACACCAGUGGCGAAAGCGAUUUUCUAGUUUAGACCUGACGCUGAGGCGCGAAAGCUAGUGGAGCAAACAGG
rnacentral:rRNA from 1 species